rnacentral:miRNA from 1 species
AUGAAUGGUGAAGAUGAAGAG